rnacentral:rRNA from 1 species
GAUGAACGCUGGCGGCGUGCCUAAUACAUGCAAGUCGAGCGAACAGAUGAGAAGCUUACUUCUCUGAUGUUAGCGGCGGACGGGUGAGUAACACGUGGGUAACCUACCUAUAAGACUGGGAUAACUCCGGGAAACCGGGGCUAAUACCGGAUAAUAUUUUGAACCGCAUGGUUCAAUAGUGAAAGACGGUUUCGGCUGUCACUUAUAGAUGGACCCGCGCCGUAUUAGCUAGUUGGUAAGGUUACGGCUUACCAAGGCGACGAUACGUAGCCGACCAGAGAGGGUGAUCGGCCACACUGGAACUGAGACACGGUCCAGACUCCUACGGGAGGCAGCAGUAGGGAAUCUUCCGCAAUGGGCGAAAGCCUGACGGAGCAACGCCGCGUGAGUGAUGAAGGUCUUCGGAUCGUAAAACUCUGUUGUUAGGGAAGAACAAAUUUGUUAGUAACUGAACAAGUCUUGACGGUACCUAACCAGAAAGCCACGGCUAACUACGUGCCAGCAGCCGCAGUAA